rnacentral:tRNA from 1 species
GCACGGAUGGCCGAGUGGUCUAAGGCGAAAGACUCAAGAUAUCAUUUGCCACGCGAAUGUGGUUGAGAAUUCUGGUACUCGGAAGGGUGCGCGGGUUCAAAUCCCACUCCGUGAA